CGUGGAGUCCUAACCACUGGACCGCCAAGAGCUGUUAUGACUGAUAAUCAACAAAAGGGUACAAGGAAUCAGAGGCUUACAUUGCGAGUGCCAAGAUUAUAUAGCACUCCUGAGCUCACCUGAUAGAUCAGAUUCUAUGUGCGUAAUUCCCCCAUUGGGAAGGAGUCAGUGAUAGAAGAAAUUUCCAUGAACGUCUGCACUCAAAAAUGUGAAGAAUUUUGUUGUCAGCUAAUUCAUGCUGAUGCACAUAUCUUGGAUCCAGAAAUAUAGAUGACAAUGGUACUAUUCCUGCUGAUGGGUGGAUCACAGAAAAGCAAUAUCCACUGAGGACCUGAUGGUUCUUUCAAGUGUUAAAAGAAAACAGAAUUUCUUCAGGGACUUGUUUUAGGAAUGUAGCUUGGGAUUUCGCCAAGCAUAUCUUCUCUGUCACUCAGUGGCGUGGUUUUGCAUGACAGUGUCUGGCUCCUCUUGUUUCUGAUUUCUUCUUUUUCAUAUGAAAGGUAUUUCUCAAGGUUUGGAAAUACUCCAAAUCAAGAUAUGUAAAAGAUGCUUGACUCAAUCCAAGAAGACUGUACAUUUUCUGAAUUUGUCAUGAUGAAAAAUGAAAUAUUACAUAUAGGUAUUGUGGUAGUUCAGAAAAGUGAGACAUUAAAUUCUAUGGGGCUAACAUUCAUUGUGUAGCAUUCAUUGUGUAUAAUGAACUUGACAAACAUCUGUAGAACAAAGCAGAAUUCAACCAUCUGAGAAGACUCCCAGAUCCCAACCUUUUUUUUUUUUUUUGGUCAAUGGGAAUGCUUCAUGAAGGCACAGCACAUGAACUAGACAAUAUAGUACAUUUAGAAUUUGGAUGAUGAAGGUGAGUUUGGGGUAAGAGGCUUUUGGCAAAGAAAAUAGUAUAAGCAGAGAUGAAACAGAGGUGGAGAUGUGGGACAUAUUAAGGAAACUUCUUUCUUUCCCUAGUUCCUUUUCUGAAAGUAAAUACUUGAGGUAGCUGCUUGUGGAGGACAUACAGUUCAGAUAGUAUGACAUCUUUCUUUGUCUUGUUUUACUUUAAUGGUGAUUGUCUGAUUUUUAGAAUUACUUGCUAUUCUUAAACUGGAAAGAAAAAAGAAAUGUCAAAGUCUUUAAGUUUUAGCAGUUGCCAUCUUCAUUUCAACUAAACAGUGUUUUAAAAUACGCCUGCUAUAUAUAAGAUGUUGAUGAACAAGAUAAAAUUCCUGCCCUUGAAACAUGUGCACCCUGUUAAGAGAAAUUUCACCUUGGAAAUUUUAAUAAUUUGAGCAAACUAUGCUUUAAUGUUCAAUUUAUUACACAAUAUAAACAAACCAAAUUGUGCAUAAUUUGGUAUAUUCCCGUUGUGAUUCUAGAGCUACACUGUUCAGUAUAUUAACCACUAGCCACUUGCGGCUGUUAAAAUGAAUGAAAAUUAAAUAAAAUUAAAAACUAAGUCACACUGGUUCAUUUCUGAGUGCUUAGCAGCCACAUAUGACUAGUAUUUAUUAGUAUAUACUGUACUGGAAAGCAAAGAUACUGAUUAUUCCGCAGUUGGAGGAAGCUCUGUCCUGCCCAGAGAUCUAAAACGUGUUUUAAUUGCUUUGGUCGGGUGACUGGCUGAGUCGUUCUCCUCGAUGAAGCAGCCACAGUACUGAGCGUUUUUGCUGUGCCAGGCGUUGUGCCAAGGCCAGCAUCGUGUCAGAGAAGCCCCGCAACAGCCCAGCGAAGAUGAAGAGACUGGAGCUGAGCAAGGUCAAGUCACGUGCCCAACAUCACUUAGCUGAGAAAAGGCCGAGUCAGGAUCUGUACCUAAGCCCCUCUGAUGCCGUAUGUGCAUGUGUGCUCACUCAGUUGUGUCCGACUCGUUGCGACCCCAUGGACUGUAGCCCGCCAGGCUCCUCUGUCCUUGGGAUUUCCCAGGCAAGAAUACUGGAAUGGGUUGCUAUUUCCUCCUCCAGGGGAUCUUCCCAACCCAGGAAUCUGAACCUGCGUCUGCUACGUCUCUUGCAUUGGCAGGAUUCUUUACCACCGCGCCACCUGGGAAGCCUCUCUAUAAACCUUCAUUAAAUGCCUGCCAUGUGCCAGGUGUUGUGAUAGAGCUAAGUAAUAAAGAAAAGUCAUGGUUUCUGUCCACAGGGACUUUUCAGUCUGGUGGAGGAAAGAGAUAAGUUAACAGGUGGAUUACAUAGGAUAUGAUAAAUGUUUUCAUUUAUCGUAGGUAAAUAAUCUGCCUGCAUUGCAGGAGACCCUGGUUCGAUUCCUGGGUCGAGAAAAUCUGCGGGAGAAGGGAUAGGCUACCCAUUCUAAUAUUCUUGGGCUUCCCUUGUGGCUCAGCUGGUAAAGAAUCUGCCUGCCAUGUGGGAGACCUGGGUUUGAUCCCCGGGGUUGGGAAGAUCCCCUGGAGAAGGGAAAGGCUACCCACUCCACUGUUCUGGCCUAGAGAAUUCCAUGGACUGUAUAGUCCAUGGGGUUGCAAAGAGUCAGACACAACGGAGCGACUUUCACUCACUGUGGGAGAAGAAAUCCAAGAGGCUAUGAGCAGUAUAUAAGGAAAACUACAGAAGCAAUGCUCAAGGUUUACCUCUGAGGAAAGGUCAAGAGAUACUGGCUUGUGUAAGCUGAGAGAGUGAGUGAAAAGAUGAUCCUGGCAGUGUAAAACACCUAGGAUGUAAAAGAGCACAGCAAACUGGAGGGACUGAAAGAUGUUCACUCUGACUGGGGCCCACGUAAUCUCUAAGAUCUAGUAAUUCAGAGUCUUUUUAUGAUAUAUUUAAAUUAUUUUAAAAAACAGGCUGAAGUUGAACGGUUCUAUGAAGACCUACAAGACCUUCUAGAACUAACGCCCAAAAAAGAUGUCCUUUUCAUUAUAGGGGACUAGAAUGAAAAAGUAGGAAGUCAAGAAAUAUCUGGAGUAACAGGCAAAUUUGCCCUUGGAAUACAGAAUGAAGCAGGGCAAAGGCUAAUAGAGUUUUGCCAAGAGAACACACUGGUCAUAGCAAACACCCUUUUCUAGUAGCACAAGAGAAGACUCUACACAUGAACAUCACCAGAUGGUCAAUACCAAAAUCAGAUUGAUUAUAUUGUUUGCAGCCAAAGAUGGAGAAGCUCUUACAGUCAGCAAAAACAACACUGAGAGCUGACUGUGGCUCACAUCAUGAACUCCUUAUGCACAGAUGGGCACAAUAAAGGACAGAAAUGGUAUGGACCUAAUAGAAGCAGAUGAUAUUAAGAAGAAGUGGCAAGAAUACACAGAAGAACUAUACAAAAAAGAUCUUCCUGACCCAGAUAAUCAUGAUGGUGUGAUCACUCACCUAGAGCCAGAGAUCCAGGAAUGUGAAGUCGAGUGGGCCUUAGGAAGCAUCACUACAAACAGAGCUAGUGGAGGUGGUGGAAUUCCAGUUGAGCUAUUUCAGAUCCCAAAAGAUGAUCUGUUAAUGUGCUGCACUCAAUAUACCAGCAAAUUUGGAAAGCUCUGCAGUGGCCAUAGGACUGGAAAAGGUCAGUUUUCAUUCCAAUCCCAAAGAAAGGCAAUGCCAAAGAAUGCUAAAACUACCACACAACUACAUUCAUCUCUCAUGCUAGCAAAGUAAUGCUCAAAAUUCUCCAAGCCAGACUUCAACAGUACAUGAACCGUGAACUUCCAGAUGUUCAAGCUGGAUUUAUAAAAGGCAGAGAAACCAGAGAUCAAAUUGCCAACAUCCGCUGGAUCAUUGAAAAAGCAAGAGAGUUCCAGAAAAACAUUUACUUCUGCUUUGUUGACUAUGCCUAAGCGUUUGUGUGGAUCACAGCAAACUGUGGAAAAUUCUUCAAGAGAUGGGACUACCAGACCACCUGACAUGCCUCCUGAGAAAUCUGUGUGCAGGUCAAGAACCAACAUUUAGAACUGGGCAUGGAACAAGAGACUGGUUCCAAAUAGGGAAAGGAGUACAUCAAAGCUGUAUUUUGUCACCCUGCUUAUUUAACUUAUAUGCAGAGUACUGUAUGUGAAAUGCUGGGCUGUAUGAAGCACAAGCUGGAAUCAAGAUAGCUGGGAGAAAUAUCAAUAACCUCAGAUAUGUAGAUGACACCACCCUCAUGGGAGAAAGUGAAGAACUAAAGAGCCUCUUGAUGGAGGUGAAAGUGGCGAGUGAAAAAGUUGGCUUAAAGCUCAACAUUCAGAAAACUAAGAUCAUGGCAUCUGGUCCCAUCACUUCAUGGUUAAUAGAUGGGGAAACAAUGGAAACAGUGACAGCCUUUAUUUUUUGGGGCUCCAAAAUCACUGCAGAUGGUGACUGCAGCCAUGAAAUUAAAAGACGCUUGCUCCUUGGAAGGAAAGUUAUGACUAAUCUAGACAGCAUAUUAAAAAGCAGAGACAUUACUUUGCCGACAAAGGUCUAUCUAGUCAAAGCUAUGGUUUUUCCAGUAGUUGUGUGUGGAUGUGAUAAUUGGACUAUAAAGAAAGCUGAGCCCCAAAGAAUUGAUGCUUUUGAAGUGUGGUGUUGGAGAAGACUCUUGAGAGUCCCUUCGAUUGCGAGGAGAUCCAACCAGUCCAUCCUAAAGGAGUUCAGUCCUGAUUAUUCAUUGGAAGGACUGAUGAUGAAGCUGAAACUCCAGUACUUUGGCCACCUGAUGCAAAGAGCUGACUCAUUUGAAAAGACCCUGAUGCUGGGAAACAUGGAAGCCGGGAGGAGAAUGGGACGACAGAGGAUGAGAUGGUUUGGAUGGCAUCGCUGACUCCGUGGACAUGGUUUGAAUAGGCUCUGGGAAUUGGUGAUGAACAGGAAAGCCUGGCGUGCUGCAGUCUAUGGGGUUGCAAAGAGUUGGACACAACUGAGCAACUGAACUGAACUGAAAAAACAGGGUCCUUCCUUUUCUGAAAAGAAAAAAAAGAUCCCUGGGUCUCUCCCACUGUUUGGGGAGCUUCUUAUACCUAUCUUACAUUUGUAGAUCCUGCAGUUACAGGAAGAUAAGAGGUAAAAAGAUAUUGGAGAAAAGAAGGAAGAAAGAGAGAAAGAUAGUCAGAACAAGCUGCAGAGAAGUAAGAUAGGUAAUAUUUGAUGGGGAAUGUCAGUACCAUUUAUAAUUCUCAGACUCCCUGUCUCUUAGCAAAAGUUCAGAUCAGCCAUUUCUAAAGGUCAUGUUUUGCUAUCAUGAAAUGUAUUUAUGUGAGAAUAUUUUUGAUAAGGUAUCUAAAAAUUGAAUUGCUGUAGUGUUUCAUUUCAUUAGAAAUCAUAAUAUAAUUUUCUUUAUUUUAUUGUCAUGUCUGUGCACUUACAGUGUAUUCCACCUGGCAGAAAUUUAAAAGCUGUUAUUUUUAUAGGGGAAUACAUAGUCAUUGUAAGACUAAGAUUGAAACAUAAGGAGUCAGAGAUGGAGUAGGGUCAGGACACAAUGAAUUGUAUCUUUACUCACCAAUUCCAGAGAUUAUUCUAUGUAUUAUACAAAAUACAUUACACAUAAUAAAUCUCUCAUGCUUUGUAAAUAUUUAGUUGUUGUUGAUUUAUUUCUGCCCUACUGGCAGCCAUCACGUCUCUGUUCUGCAUUGUGAAACUUUGUUUAUAUGUCUGUGUCAACAUCAUCUGCUCUAGGAUGGAGGCUUCUGGAAGGCAGGGAUGAUGUCUAUUUGCUUUGCAUAAUGCUUAGCAUAUAGCUCUUUACAUGGAGCUUUAUUUUUGUUUGAUGGUGAUGAUUUUCUUUAUGUAUUUCUUUUCUUUCCUGUCUUCAGAUUGGCCACAUCUUCUGAUAACAAUGAAUCCCAUGGAACACAAAAGUGAAAUUAACUGUUGAAUGCCUACUAAGGCUGGGCAGCCCAAUGCCUCUUGCAGCUAUAUGAGGUCUUACACCACCACAAAGAGGCACCCUCUUGUUAAAAAAUUAAAAAUACAGAGAAGCCACCCACGUUGGUUUUCAUGAAGGAAAAAUUUGGUGUCUAGUUUUACCACCAAGUGCUUGUCAAAUAAACUUGGUAUGAAAUCAAGGCUGAAUACAGUAAACAGAAAAUUCAGAUAAAAGCUAAGUGGAAAAAAAAAUCCUCUUUAUUUCCAUCCCUAUUCUUUUUGGGGAUGGGCUUCUGGAAUAGUGUUGGGGGUUGAAUGUAAGUUUGAUCAAAUGGAGCUGGAGCCAAGUGAGUAAAAACUCAGUAUUUUUUGAAGAUCUUCCAACUCUUUGUUUUAGUAAAAACAGAUUUUACUAGUGUAUCCUCCUUCAGAUUGUCCACCUUUUAAAACUUGCAUCACUAAAUUAUAAAUCUGGGUAUUCAAAGGCAUUGUGUGGACACAAUUAUUAAGUUUAAUUUUGUUAGAAUAUUCCAAACACUAAAAAGAAACAUCCUAGAUUCUUAAGGUACCUUUAAACUUUUCCUUAAAAACUUCCCUUUCUCCUUUACCUUGCCUUUUCUGCCCUUUCUCUAGAUUUAUCAUGAAUUUUUCUAUUGUAUUUCAGAGAACUUUUAGGGGUUACUUGUUACAACUUUUAUUAUA